AAAAAAAUCACAAAAUUUCCAGACAGAGUGACCAGAUAAAAGUAGAGAACCUAGCAAACCUGAUGCUGUGCUUCCAAUGCGCAAAUUGGACUCACAAAAAAUAUGUUUCCUUAAUGGAAACACAAGUUAUUUAGAAAAAACAAGUUUUUCGAUGAAAACGCUUUUGCGUUUGGACUAGGUGGUUUUUUGGCUGUAUCAAAAUUACUGGAAUGCAAUGGAAAGACUUUUUUCGCAUCACACAAGUCAUAUGAUCAACAUCUGGAUGUUACUACUUGCGGAAAAAUGAAGAAGAUGACAGGAAGUGGUAUGAGGAUGACGGAGCGUUGUGUUUUUUAAUGACUUAUCCCGUGAACAAACUUAUUCACCUGUGAUUUUAGUUGCGUUUCUUAUUAAAUGGAAAAGCCAUAAUUGCAAAAUUACGUUUUUUAACAUUAGCAGAAUAUCGACAAAGUUUUGCGCAGGUUUGUAAUGGAAACACAGCAACGAUUUCAUUAACCCUGGGAUUAAAGUACACACAGGUUGACUCUUUACUUGUUUUGUGAUCUCUGAAUGAAUUGGUUAUGUUGAAUUUUAAUUUCUAUCUAUCAGAAACAGAGUCCACACUUUUCAGCACUUUACUAUACUUGCUAUUUGUGUUAAGUCUAUGGCAAAAAAAAAAAAAAUCAAAGUAAAAUACAUAUGCCUGCUCUAAAGGAGAUAUUUGAAGUCAAUGGAUGUGAAUACUUUUGAGAGGUACUAUGAGUGCGCCCUUGUUGGGAUUAGCAUGAAGAGCCUGAAUUAUACCAUCGUCACAUUUUCACAAAAACUGUGUCAUGAGGAGGCUGACCACAUGAAAGGGCUCAGCACAGCGUGUAAGAAGUAAAACCCAUCAUCCCUUUUUGAUGGUAGGUCAUUUAGCGCUCAACUAAAUCUCGUCAUCUCCUCACAGCACAGCUUCAAGUGCACGUACAUAAAUGAAAACGAAAAAUCAGGUCACUCUUUGUGUCUGUGUAAUGUGUGGAUGUCACAUGUUUCUCUUCCCCCUUGUUUUUUUUCUUCUUUUUUCUUCUUUCUUUUUUUGUGAGGAUCCGCCUGCUGAGAUGCCAGGUUAGAAGCGUCAGUCGCAGCAGCAAAGCAUUGAUCCCUGAGCUAAAUGAAGGGACAGGAGGGCUCGGUGUCGCCCACAGGCUCCCAUUAGGCCCAUCAGUGAGCUGGAGGAAAAUAAUAGCUCCCCACACUCCAACUUUGGUUCUGUCUGAGCUGGGAAGUGGUUUUCCUACCGAAGUGGAUGAAGUCAUCCCUGUUUAAAUAGCUCUUGUGACAGCAUACACCGGCAAGACUUGACUUAAAAUGAUGCCUAUAUAAAGAGCCAAUUCAAAGCAGAAUAUUUGGACUUCUGUUAUUGUUCUUGGCUCACCCAGUUCCAGCCUUAAAAUUUGGAUUGUUACAAUAAAGUUGAUAUGAGGACUUUGA